GGGAAUUUUCCGCAAUGGGCGAAGCCUGACGGAGCAAUGCCGCGUGGAGGUGGAAGGCCUACGGGUCGUCAACUUCUUUUCUCGGAGAAGAAACAAUGACGGUAUCUGAGGAAUAAGCAUCGGCUAACUCUGUGCCAG
rnacentral:rRNA from 1 species